rnacentral:siRNA from 1 species
AGCAGCAACUGGUCUAUUGUAGA